GGUUAAAUGUCCGGAGCAGUGCACAGCAGAAGCAGACUGGGGCACAAAUGGAUAUACUGGUGUAACUCCAGUUUGCUUGGCAGCAAUUCAGUCUGGUAUUCUUCACAAAGGCUUUUUUAUGAUAGAAAAAAACAUAGCUGAAGGAACCUUUAUUAUGAAGAAACCUAUCGAAGAAAUAGCUGAAAAGAUGACAGAACAAUCAGAAGUUGAAGCUGACUGCACCACAACAGUAAAUCAGAUUCCCGAAGGAACUAUAAAGUACGUAGACUUUACAUAGGAAAUAAAUGUUUUUA